UUUAGAGAUUUGGUACAUCGCUUAGUUUUAGGUUGUUCAUUGUUAGGGUAGUUUAACGUUGUGGUGUAGUUUUUGUUUGGGUCUAGCAUUUCAUUCCUCUCUGCUCUAGACACUAUGUUUACAUCUUCUUAUGGUUGUGCCAUGUGGUGUAGCCUUUCUUGUACUCAUUUCAACUUCUUCUAUCAAUGGAAGAUACAUAAGCU
rnacentral:lncRNA from 1 species